rnacentral:rRNA from 1 species
GUCCACGCCGUAAACGAUGAAUGCUAGGUGUUAGGGGUUUCGAUACCCUUGGUGCCGAAGUUAACACAUUAAGCAUUCCGCCUGGGGAGUACGGUCGCAAGACUGAAACUCAAAGGAAUUGACGGGGACCCGCACAAGCAGUGGAGUAUGUGGUUUAAUUCGAAGCAACGCGAAGAACCUUACCAGGUAUUGACAUCCCCCUGAAUACGGUAGAGAUAUCGUAGGCCUUCGGGACAGGGAGACAGGUGGUGCAUGGUUGUCGU